UUAAAUCAUGGAGUUUAUGCCUUUUGGACAAGUGGAGUCAGGUUUCGGGUUACUGUGCUGAGUGUGGGAAACGGCUGUAAGUGCAGCUUCUCAUAACGACGACAAUAAAAUGGAAGAAUAUCCCUGCUAGUAAGGCUAGCUGGUCCACUGGUUCCACAUUUGGAGCGGCUUGCAGGAAGGACGCAUGUGAUGCCCUUUUCCCGGGAUGUUUGCGUCGCAGCAGGCGAUGGGAAGAACUCGCUCUUCACCCUGUCAGGGAUGUUGACCUUCACUGUCAGAAUCUUCAGAUUCUCCCCUCGGUUAAUGGCCAGGACCUGCAAGGCAAACGUAACCCGCUGAGACAGACGGAGGCAGCCGAGGGCUGUCUUGGACAGAGAGGACUGAAGCGUCACCGGGUUCUGGUCACACCUGCCAGACAUGCUGUUUUAACGGACCUGGAGAGUUUCACCAUUUCAGGGAUGGCGACAAGAUAAGGUCUGAUGCGUGUCAGAUGCACGGAGCUUGACGAGCAUCAGUGGCGCUAGUAGGGUUCUCACCACGUGGUCCAGCUCUUCGGCACCCGUACAGUUCUUCAGAGAUUCCUCCAGCUCAGCAGUCAG